AGAGCUCAGUUGGGCAAGGCGAACAACAAGUCCACAACAUCGUUCAGGCAUGCCAUCCUCCAGAGAGUUGUGUCCCCGCCAAAGAAAUCUGAUUCUCUCGGCCAGUUGGGGAGUCGUAGCGUCUUGGGUCAGGGAGAGAGUAAUCCCCCCACCAAGAGGUCAGCGCCAGUUGAAGAUCAUCUGGAAAAAGGCCGUCUUCCAGCAGAUGCUCCUCAUACGCUUUGAGAAGGAGAAUCAGCGUUUGAGAGCUAUACAACAUGAAGUGGCACUCCAGCGCGUUCGUCUCAAUUAUGAAGAAGAGGAGAUUCCAUAUGAGGCAAUACAAGCUUGGCAGCUUCUUCUGUCCAGACCCACAGCCAGGAUAGAUUCCAACAUCCUUCAUAGUGGAAUUAAACAAGGUGUGCCCAAGUCAGUACGUGGGGAGGCCUGGCAGCUACUAGUGAAGCAGUACCUGGCACGGAAUCCCAAACUGGAGCCACAAAUUCUCAGUUACAACGUUGCUUAUGAGAGCAUGAUCAAAGAACUCACCUCACAGCAUCAUGCCAUACUUAUUGACCUAGGUCGCACGUUCCCAACACACCCUUACUUCAUGCAGACGCUCGGCCCGGGUCAACUUGCCCUGUUCAAUGUGUUAAAAGCUUACUCACUGUUGGAUAAGGAUGUUGGAUACUGUCAAGGCCUCAGUUUUGUUGGGGGUGUACUGCUUCUUCAUGUGGAAGAGGAAGCGGCAUAUAACCUACUGAAACACUUGAUGUACGUCAUGGGCUGCAGGCGACAGUACCGGCCUGACCUUAUUGGUCUUCAGGUUCAGAUGUAUCAACUCUCCCGGCUGCUCCACGACCAACUGCGUCAAUUGUACGAUCAUUUUGAGGUUCACGAGGUCACGCCGCAGCUGUUUGCCGCCCCGUGGUUCCUCACACUCUUUGCUUCACAGUUCCCUCUCAGUUUUGUCUCUCGAGUAUUUGAUCUGCUGUUCAUGGAAGGUAUGGAAGCAGUGUUCCGAGUGGCUCUGGUUCUCCUGAGGACACAUGAAGAAGCCUUACUGGCCUGUGAUUCAUUUGAACAGAUCAUGGACUACAUGAAGACGUCUAUGCCCAACCUUCACAUACACCAGAUGGGGAACAUCAUAUCUCAGGCUUGUGAGUGUUCAUUGAGUCAGGAGUUACAGGCGUACGAGGUAGAAUACCACGUGUUGCAGGAGGAAAUGGCUCUCUCCCCCCAGAACCACACAGACUUCCAGAAACUAAAGGAGGCCAACAAGAAUCUGAAAAGGCAGAAUUUAGACCUCCUGGAGCAGCUUCGUCAUGCUAACUCACACCAACAUGCUCUUGAAACCUCCAAUCAGAGUCUUCAACAGAGCCAACAUCACCUAGAAGUAAGAGUCCGCUGGUUGGAACUAGAACGCGGUAAUCUGAAACAGCUGGUUGGUCUACUAGCACAGAGCUUACCCAAGGACAACCUCUCUACCAUCCCCCCCAACCUACAGCGCUUCCUGCCCCCCACUGACGUCAGUAAGACUGAAACAAAAGAAGCAGCCAAUCAGAAGCCAGUGGAAGGGGGAGAGAAGGAAGAGGCAAAGGAGAGCGGCGAUAACAUCUCUUCGUCGCUGCCGUCUCAGAGUAACCAGCAUCACCAGCUUCACACAGGUCCCAGGGCUGUCUCCAUGGACUACGGCUUGAUGCAGCGUUAUAUUAAGAAUCUCGUUGGUAAUGAUUAACCGUCUCUUGUCCUCCCUGGUACGGUACCCUCUCUGGACAGUUAGUUGUUGUGGAGGUACGUGACGGCCCUGGAUUGUGAUUUUGUACGAAAAACAAUUGUAAAUUUAUUGCAAUGGUGCCCUGAUAAAUUAGUGAAUUUAGAAAUCAAUGUAGAAGUCAUUGUAAAUACUCUGGUACUGUAGAUGUAAACUAAAAAUGGAUAUAUAAACCAGAAAUGUAAUUUUUAUUUAUUUGUUUUAUUUUUUUAUUUUUUGAGGCUUUGGUACCAAUGAUAAUAUGAGAAAGAUCACACAACUGAGAUUAUCUUUGUGUGUGAUGACAAGUGAUGAGACUUAUACAGUACAGUACAGGGACCCCAGGUACAGUACUGGAACCCCAGGUACAGUACAGGGACCCCAGGUACAGUACAGGGACCCCAGAUAUAGUACAGGGACCCCAGAUACAGUACAGGGACCCCAGGUACAGUACUGGAACCCCAGGUACAGUACAGGGACCCCAGGUACAGUACAGGGACCCCAGAUAUAGUACAGGGACCCCAGAUACAGUACAGGGACCCCAGGUACAGUACUGGAACCCCAGGUACAGUACAGGGACCCCAGGUACAGUACAGGGACCCCAGAUAUAGUACAGGGACCCCAGAUACAGUACAGGGACCCCAGGUACAGUACAGGGACCCC
rnacentral:misc_RNA from 1 species